CUCGACCCACCCUCCAGCUCCAUGCUGGGCCAGUCAGGGAGGGGGCCCCAGGUGGGUCCUCAAUUUUGCAUUCCUGGAGGUUUCAUCACAUGACAGGCUUUAAUUGAAGAUUAAUUUUUAAUUGCUGGAGGCUCCAGGACAAUCCUGGAGGGUUGGCAAGCCUACCAGAAGCAGGUGCUGUUUGCCCUGGUCUGGGAGCACCAGAGCCCCCCCUGCCUAUAAACACAUGCAACUGGGGCAAGCAGCUACCUAGCCCUGGGUCAGGCCGGAGCUAGGCCUCCCUACCGCUCCUGCAGUUGCAACUGGUAGAGAAGUGCCCAGAGUGAGGUCAGGCUUGGCUGGGUGCAGUCCAUUGCACAGCCACAGUGAACUCCAGACCUUACCUGUCUUGUCAUCAGUCAAAGGGGAAGUAGGCGAAAAGCUGCUGUAAGGAGGUGUCCUUCAACCAGACAAAAACAAGUCACUUUUCAGAAGAGAACCUCUCUCAAGGAUUGCUUCCAAAAACCACUAUUGUUAAAACAAAGCAGAAAAUGCGAGUCCAUCAGAAGCUUAGAAACUCGUCAACCAGUCAAGAAUGUGUAACACAACCAGUGGUGCCAUAAAUGGACAGGGAGAUAACUUGUUUUGAAAAAAAAAAGUGCCAUCAACCCAAAUAAGUAAAAUGGCUACACAAGCACCACCUCUAUUUGUAGUGUCAUAAUCUAAAAAGCCUUAAAAUAUACAACAGCUCCAAAGGCCAGGUUAUACUACAAGUCAGACACUACUAGUUCUGGUAUUUCAAUAACCUGAAAGGUUGACAAGUUUUAGUGAAUGGGUUUUCCCAGAGUUACUGAAGCUUUUGUUCAAUGGAAGACUAAAGCAGGAGCUUUGGUGAGAAAGAGAAAUGAAGAACGUUUCCAUCCAAGUAUUCUCCCAAAGCCAAUCACCUCCUGUACUAGGAUAACCACCCGCUAGAGAUUGAUCACCAUCUAACCACAAGAACAAAAUAGGGAGUUCACAAACAAAACAGUGGCAGAUGCGCAGGUUGUUUUAGAAGUUGAAAUGGCUUGUUACUAAUAUUAUCUUGAGACCUUUUAUUAUGGAUUCGUAUUAAAAGC